CCUACGGGUGGCAGCAGUGGGGAAUAUUGCACAAUGGGGGAAACCCUGAUGCAGCGACGCCGCGUGAGUGAAGAAGUAUUUCGGUAUGUAAAGCUCUAUCAGCAGGGAAGAAAAUGACGGUACCUGACUAAGAAGGCCCGGCUAACUACGUGCCAGCAGACGCGGUAAUACGUAGGGGGCAAGCGUUAACCGGAUUUACUGGGGUUAAAGGGAGCGUAGACGGUGAUGCAAGUCAGAAGUGAAAGCCCGGGGCGCAACUCCGGGACUGCUUUUGAAACCGUGUGACUGGAGUGCAGGAGAGGUAAGCGUAAUUCCUGGUGUAGCGGUGAAAUGCGUAGAUAUCAUGAGGAACACCAGUGGCGAAGGCGGCUUACUGGACUGUAACUGACGUUGAGGCUCGAAAGCGUGGGGAGCAAACAGGAUUAGAUACCCCAGUAGUC
rnacentral:rRNA from 1 species